AAAAAAAAAAAGAAAAAGGAAAAAGAAAUGUCGACAAUUCUCCUCUUAUUACUCCAGAAGUUGCUAACCUCAUCUUCCUCUUCGCCUGCAACCGUGGAGGCCGCUCUCUGCUUCUUCUGCUCUCCAUCACUUCUCUCCUUUUCUCUCUAACCAUUUCAGUCUCAGAUUCGAAGCAGAAGUGUUGCAUCAAACAGAAUCCAAUCAAGAGUACUUUCAUUAGCUCCUACAUCAGUCAACAUGGUUUCAAUGGCUAUUAUACCUUGCGGAAGUACGUCAAUUGCUCAAUGGGGAAUUCAUCCUCAGUACAUGCUAAGACCUUCGACAAAUAAGAUAUCUCCAAUGCAAUAUGGUGUCCCCAGCAGGAUUACCAACAUAGCUGCAUUGAGCUCAAGUUUCUUCUCUCGAGGUUCCUUCAGUGUUUUAUUUGACACAAGAUCCUCACAAACUUUACAUCGACGAAGAGGCGGGUUGUUUGUUGUUAGAGCAGAUAAUGAUUAUUACUCUGUCCUUGGGGUGUCCAAAAAUGCCAGUAAAUCUGAAAUUAAAAGUGCUUAUCGGAAACUUGCUCGGAGUUACCAUCCGGAUGUGAACAAAGAUGCUGGGGCUGAACAAAAAUUCAAGGAAAUUAGUAAUGCUUAUGAAGUCUUGUCUGAUGAUGAGAAACGCUCACUCUACGAUAAAUAUGGAGAGGCUGGCCUUAAAGGCGCGGGUAUGGGCAUGGGGGAUUUCAGUAAUCCUUUCGAUCUCUUUGAGUCUCUAUUCGAGGGCAUGGGAGGCAUGGGUGGUAUGGGGAUGGGAGGCCGAGGUUCAAGAAGUAGAGCUGUAGACGGACAAGAUGAGUAUUACAAUCUUGUGUUGGACUUCAAGGAAGCUGUUUUUGGUGUCGAAAAGGAAAUUGAGAUUAGCAGAUUGGAGAGCUGCGGGACUUGUGAAGGGUCUGGCGCUAAACCUGGAACCCAACCGACUAAAUGUAGUACAUGUGGUGGUCAAGGCCAGGUCGUCUCGUCAGCAAGGACCCCCUUAGGCGUCUUCCAGCAGGUAAUGACUUGCUCUUCUUGUGGCGGAACUGGGGAAAUAUCCACUCCUUGCAACACAUGUUCUGGGGAUGGACGAGUACGGAGGACAAAGAGGAUAAGUUUAAAAGUGCCAGCAGGCGUUGAUGCUGGUAGUCGUCUAAGAGUUCGAAAUGAAGGGAAUGCAGGAAGACGAGGUGGGUCUCCUGGGGAUCUUUUUGUCAUUAUUGACGUUAUGCCUGAUCCCGUACUAAAACGUGAUGAUACCAAUAUCUUGUACACUUGCAAAGUUUCCUACAUCGACGCCAUCUUGGGCACUACCAUCAAAGUUCCAACUGUAGAUGGCAUGGUUGAUUUGAAAAUCCCUGCCGGCACACAGCCAAAUACAACACUUGUGAUGUCAAAGAAAGGAGUUCCUCUUCUAAAUAAAAGGAAUAUGAGGGGAGAUCAGUUAGUUCGUGUGCAGGUCGAAAUCCCGAAAAAGUUGAGUAGUGACGAAAGGAAGUUGAUCGAGGAACUGUCGGAUUUAAGCAAAGGCAAAGCUGUGAGCAGUAGAAGAUAGCUUCCAUAGAGAAAUGAAUUGGAAGGAUUGAUUGAUAAUGGCAAGGAUUGAUACAUGGGAUAAUGUCUAUCAUCUCUUUUCCAGUCCUACGAAGUAGGAUUUCAACAACCAAAGGUCUUUAUCAAGAAUUCAGUGGUGAUUGUUCGUUGCAACCAAUACUCAAUCCAGCAGUGAUGGCUGCCCCCACCAGAUGGGCCGCCCAAAACCUGCCCUGGACUUGGUCCCGGCAUAUUCGAUAGCAAUUUUGUACUUUGUUUCAAAAGAGAUACUAUAAACUCCCAAAAGUUUUAAAUUUUAAGGGAUUGUUUUGUACUUUGUUUUAAAGAUAUUCUGAAUUCACAGAAAUUUCAUUGAAACUCUUAAAUUUUCAAGAGUUUAAAAA